rnacentral:rRNA from 1 species
UACAGAGGUCUCAAGCGUUGUUCGGAUUCAUUGGGCGUAAAGGGUGCGUAGGUGGCGGGGUAAGUCUGGUGUGAAAUCUCGGGGCUCAACCCCGAAACUGCACUGGAUACUGCCUUGCUUGAGUACUGGAGAGGAGAUUGGAAUUUACGGUGUAGCAGUGAAAUGCGUAGAUAUCGUAAGGAAGACCAGUGGCGAAGGCGAAUCUCUGGACAGUUACUGACACUGAGGCACGAAGGCCAGGGGAGCAAACGGG